UUUGUUUGACCAUGUUAGACCUAUGAGAAUUUAAUUGGACUUGUUAAAGUUGAUUUGAAUUAAAUUUGAGGUUUGACCAUAUUUUGUUUAUUUUAUUUUUGCAUUUAUUUUUAAUUCAAAAAUACCAAAAAAAUAUGUUUGCCUUGUUGACUUGUAAUCUUCAUUUCUCUUUUGUUUAGCAUUGGUUGAUGAUGACUUGGUUCACAUUUGAUCAAUUGUGUUUG
rnacentral:lncRNA from 1 species